GCAAACGCAAGUCGUGGAUGAGUAAGGUGU
rnacentral:piRNA from 1 species